CUGGUCAAUGAUGAUGCUCAAAGUUUCUAGUUCGAGUUUAACGACCAUGAGACUAGUUCACAUGCACUACCAUCUGAGACCAU